CGCGAAAAGGUGGAAGAGCUGAGAAGGUUGUUGAAACAGCGGCUAACUGCUGCUAAUGCCGAGAUAUUUGAGUUGGUAGAAACAAAAAACAUCACAGAGCAGCAAGAAGAAACGAAUGGAUUUGAAGAAGAGAAUAAACUAGUCAACGUGCUGGAUGCCGUUUUCAAGCCUGAAGUUCGCUGAUCCAGAGCAGACAUGCAGCUGUUUUUGGUGAUUAAAAAAGAAACUCCCCCUAAACACCAGGAAAGGAAUCUGAGUGUUGACCAGGAGAACAU